rnacentral:lncRNA from 1 species
GCAGAUGGUAGAGAAAUUUUCUCUGAGCAGUUGUGAUCUGUUCACCAAAACCAAGUGGUUAGGGCUGCUAAUACUAGGAUUCUGAUCUUCUGACAUCAGGUCCAGGCUUUUCACCAAAUCGCGGAGCAGCUGAGAGAGGACACCAGUCCGGAGUAAAUAAAGCCAGUGAGAAGGGGCGAGGGCCAGGGCGGCGCUCCUCGGGAUUCAGACCUUGGCACUGCAAGGGGAGGGUUCCGGGCCCCGGCUAAUUCAGACGCAGGCUUCCGCGGAGGCGGCAGGAGAGCCUGCUCCUCUACCUGAGAGUCUCCAGCCGCUGAGGAGCACGUGCGGACAGAUGGGAUCGAAGGGGUCCGGGGAUCGUGGAGCUGGACUGGAGGGUGAGGGUGGCAGGGGCGCCACCUAAGUCUUUUGGGUGCAGCUUGGCCCAGCCCAGUCCUGGCUGCUGCCUCCAGGGCUUAUGGAGGUUUCCCCAGUCAGUGUUUGCUCAGAACCCCGGACCAUUGUGCCUUUGGAGAGGUCUAUGAGGAACAGGGAUAUUGCCUCCAGGAACUGCCUGCUAAACUGCAGUGGACCCACCCAAGUGGCCAAGAUGGGGGACUUCAAGAUGGCAAGAGAUACCUACAGGUUAGGUCUUUCAGGGUGCUGCUCUGGGAGACCUUCUCACUGGGCUACAAGCCCUACCCUGGGUGCACCAAUCAGGAAGUGCUGGACUUUGUCUCAAAGGGGGACAGAAGGACUCUCCCAGGGGCUGUCCAGGCCUGUGUACCAUACACAUCACCAUCCAGUGUUGGCAGCACCAGCUUGAACUCCACCCAUUUUUCCAGCAUCUCGGAGCACCUUCCACGCUGCACUCAGGACUCUGAUGUGCUGAAUUCACCCCUUCCGAUGGAACUGGGGCCCAUCCUAAAGGAGGAAGGGACUGAGCAGCCCAUCUUUGAGGGGCCCAAGAUUCCCACAGACCCGGGAACUGAGUGUGGAGUGCAUAAAGAGCUGAGGAGGAAGCCUCCUUAGCCCCUGGCUGCCCUAUGGCCUCAAGCCCCCCAAAUCCAGGGGUCUCCAACCUCAGAACCUCUGGUUCCCACCUGUGGUUCCUGGGCCCCAAAGGGCCCUGAGGGUGAGGACUCUGGUGCUGAUGUAGUAGUUCCUCCUUGCACUCCUCCCUAGGCUUCUAGGUGGCUGGUGUUCUAAGUAGCCUCGGUGCCCCACAGUCUGCUGCCUGUCUGGGCCUGUCUCAGAGCCGGCCUAGCACCGCUGAACUUUCCACCCUGGAAACCAGCCUCAGGCCUCCUGAGAAAGCCUGGCCACUCCCAGCCUUUGAUAUUUGGGACCAGAGGCUACCUUCCUCCACCACUACUUCCUGCCCCCCCCCCCCCCCCCCCCCGGGGGGGGGGGGGGGUAGGUGGGGAGUUGAAAUUGCCUCCUGCAGGAAGCCUUUGCUUGAUUGCCUUUACCCCAUGGGCAGCCUCCAUCUGGGUGGUCCCCACCCUGCAGAUGCCUCUAAUAAAGAGCUCUUC